CAGUAGCCGCGGUAAUACGAAGGGUGUAGGCGUUACUCGGAAUUACUGGGCGUAAAGCGUGCGUAGGUGGUGGUUUAAGUCCGUUGUGAAAGCCCUGGGCUCAACUUGGGAAUUGCAGUGGAUACUGGGUCACUAGAGUGUGGUAGAGGAUAGUGGAAUUUCCGGUGUAGCAGUGAAAUGCGUAGAGAUCGGAAGGAACAUCUGUGGCGAAGGCGACUAUCUGGGCCAACACUGACACUGAGACACGAAAGCGUGGGGAGCAAACAGGAUUAGAUACCCCUGUAGUCCCUGUCUCUUAUAC
rnacentral:rRNA from 1 species